rnacentral:rRNA from 1 species
UACGGAGGGUGCGAGCGUUAUCCGGAUUCACUGGGUUUAAAGGGUGCGUAGGCGGGCAUGUAAGUCAGUGGUGAAAUCUUCGGGCUCAACCCGGAAACUGCCAUUGAUACUAUGUGCCUUGAAUGUCGUUGAGGUUUGCGGAAUAUGUCAUGUAGCGGUGAAAUGCUUAGAUAUGACAUAGAACACCGAUUGCGAAGGCAGCAGGCUAAACGAAAAUUGACGCUGAGGCACGAAAGCGUGGGGAUCGAACAGGAUUAGAUACCCUGGUAGUCCACGCCCUAAACGAUGGAUACUCGACAUACGCGAUACACUGUGUGUGUCCGAGCGAAAGCAUUAAGUAUCCCACCUGGGAAGUACGACCGCAAGGUUGAA